rnacentral:misc_RNA from 1 species
UUUUUUUGUGAAAAAAAAUUGAUUUCUUCACCAACAUUUGCCUUUUAACUAUGAAAAAACAAAAUUCUGUGAAACAAAACAGAGCCAGAAGAGUAUACAAAGUUAUUCAGCAAGAAAAUUUUCAACAUGUGCAGGUCAAUUCUCUGUGCUUCCAAGAUAAUUCUCAGACGCCUACCUCCCUGAUGGUAGCUAUCAUGUGGUGCACAUGAAACAAUAAUUUAAUGAUCAAUCAGCUGGCUCAAUGCCAGACAGCUCAGUUUCAAUCUGUUGGAAAUGUGCAAAGCAGACCAUGUCCAAGACUCUGCUCCAAAGGAUACAUUGUUGUGCCUUUAACAAAUUUUUGAUGAUCAACAGCUGCUUUUCUGAGAUUUAAAAUAGCUGUAGACCUUUUAAUUUGCUUCUUUCUAAUGGAACAUGUGGCCAGUGGGACUACAGAUCCUGCUCCAACCCUCCUCAACAAUUUCUCUGACGCAACUCUAGCAGCUCUAAUUGUGCUUGAGCUUGGUACCCAUUGGACAACAUGGUCCACAUCAGCUCGCAUUGGAGAAUGGAUUUUAAUAAGACCCAAACACUCCAUCAUCUGGUAAUAAGCCCUUCCAUGCAGAGGAGUAUGACCUUGUCGAGACUCUGAGAAAUAUCUGGUCCAUUCCUUGUAUCCAGGAUCCACAGUAAAACCAUACAUAUCAACAGACUCACAAAUAGAAAGUGCAAAUUCAAGAGCCUUGAGGCCAGUUCCCUUCGCUGCCGACCCAAAGGAUGCACCUAACAUGAGAUACACGGGAUUGUUUAUUGGAACAUCCCGAAUCAUCUUGUUCAUAAUGUCAUGUAUUGUUGUUUUGAUUAUCAGGGCCUCCUUCUUUGUUUCAUCUAACUCCACAACUUUAUCAAGGGCUUUGGCAGAUCCUCUGUUAAGAAGACGAAAUGUACUUUUCUUGCCAACAUACUCUGUAUAGUUCUGUAUGGGGGCGCCAUUUUCUC